GCCGGGCGCGGUGGCGGGUGUCUGUAAUCUCAGCUACUCGGGAGGCUGAGGCAGGAGAAUCGCUUGAACCCAGGAGGCUGAGGCUGCAGUGAACCGAGAUUGUGCCACUGCACUCCAGCCUGGGUAACAGAGCAAGACACUGUCUCAG
rnacentral:SRP_RNA from 2 species